ensembl:lncRNA
CUCGUGUUGGAAUCUCCCUUCCACUUAACGUACUUAGAGGUCUUCAUGUUUUAAAUUGUCAGUAUGACUUCUGGAAGAAUCUCUGUAGGCAUUCUGAGCAAUGCCUUCACUGAAGCAUUGCUCCCUCCAGGAUCUUUCUGUACCUAAGAGCUGAAUGGCACGGUUUAUUUUGGGAAAAAAAUAACUGACUCUGAGCUCAAGUGAUCAAUGAUAUAUCAUAGAUUAUCUUUCCUUUAACAGCUGAACCUCAGCUCAUCGUAUCCCUGCGACAGUCCCCGUGACUGUGCCCCUAAGAGGCAGAUCAUCACACAGAAGUUUCAGCAGCUCUGUGUCUGAUUACCAAUAGGACUGAACUCGGAGACGGUUAUGCGAGAUUGUGCAAUCAGAAUUUUACACAGGAACAGAUCUUCUGAUCACGACUGCUCUUGAACCUUUGGCUAUCAUUUCUGCAUUCGUCAGUGAUGAGCACCCCCCUGCCUUCUCGCUGCCACCCGUGGCCAUUGUGAGAAAAGCGAUUGAUUCCAUGCCCACGAGGAAUGUUUUCUGUCUCUCUCUCUUGAAGAUUGGCUGGAGAAGGCAUGCUGUUGGAAGAGCCUGUUGGUUUGGCUGGGCAAGGACCACCCCAGGACUGCCUGGCAUGUGGCAUGAAGCUUGUAAGGAGGUGGGUAACCAUCCUGGUUGCCGACAGCAGGGAGCACACAGGAAAUCUGUCCUGCAGCCUAGAGCCCCCAUUGCAGCCUGGAAUCCUUAAUUCCUCCUUGUGUCCUUUGUGAGUGAGGGUCAUUGCACUCAGCACAUCAUCACCAUUUUGGCUGACAAGUUUCACAGGUCUCACUUUCAUCAGAGAGUGCCCCAGAGGGAGAAGAAACACGCAGGUCCCUGCAUGGGCUCUGGGCUCCUCUUCUCUCCCAGAUAGGAGAGCUAGACUUUGAAAAUUUUGAAGAAAGCCCUUCCUGAACAGGUGGGGAAUGUUGGGCUGCUGAGGGCUAGGUGGGGGUGAGGGUUCCCUUGCCUGGAUCUGAAAUUCCAGACCUGAAAUUCCCAACCACCUUUAAAAAAAAGCAGUUUAACGGUAACAAUUAAAAAGUGCGCUACUGAUUUGUCGAUUUCAUAAUGGAUUUCGUUCUGUUUGAAGGUGUUAAUUUAACCCAUAAAUAGGGCCAAUUUUUGUUGGGUUUCACAGAAACUUUGGGAACUGGG